CAGCAGCCGCCGCGGUAAAACGAGGGGGGCAAGCGUUGUUCGGAAUUAUUGGGCGUAAAGGGUGCGUAGGCGGUUUGAUAAGUCAUCUGUGAAAUCUAUGGGCUCAACCCAUAGUCUGCAGGCGAAACUGUCGGGCUUGAGAGUGGGAGAGGUGAGUGGAAUUUCCGGUGUAGCGGUGAAAUGCGUAGAUAUCGGAAGGAACACCUGUGGCGAAAGCGGCUCACUGGACCAUUUCUGACGCUGAUGCACGAAAGCUAGGGGAGCAAACAGGAUUAGAUACCCCGGUAGUCCCUGUCUCUUAUAC
rnacentral:rRNA from 1 species